rnacentral:rRNA from 1 species
UGGGGAAUAUUGGACAAUGGGCGAAAGCCUGAUCCAGCCAUGCCGCGUGUGUGAAGAAGGUCUUCGGAUUGUAAAGCACUUUAAGUUGGGAGGAAGGGCAGUAAGCGAAUACCUUGCUGUUUUGACGUUAUCGACAGAAUAAGCACCGGCUAACUCUGUGCCAGCAGCCGCGGUAAUACAGAGGGUGCAAGCGUUAAUCGGAAUUACUGGGCGUAAAGCGCGCGUAGGUGGUUCGUUAAGUUGAAUGUGAAAGCCCCGGGCUCAACCUGGGAACUGCAUCCAAAACUGGCGAGCUAGAGUAGGGCAGAGGGUGGUGGAAUUUCCUGUGUAGCGGAGAAAUGCGUAGAUAUAGGAAGGAACACCAGUGGCGAAGGCGACCACCUGGGCUCAUACUGACACUGAGGUGCGAAAGCGUGGGGAGCAAACAGG